AGGUGCCUUUUCAAUAAUAUAAAGAUGGAAAUGGGAUGAAGAUGUUCACUGAAAAUUAGGAAAACUCUUCCACGAGUUCACCAAUGGAAAUAACAUCAAGAAUUUUUCAUCUUCUUAGUAGGCAAAGGUAUGGAUAUUCAGUGUGUGAGCUUCAAGAGUAUCUAAGGGAGGUAAUAACGUGGUUGAGAAUAUACCAGAGACUACAAACUGUCUGUGCAUCCCAGAGGAACAGGAAGCUCGUGCAGGUGAAAAGACUGGAGGAGGAGGUAUGCUCACGAUACCCAGGAAGCCCACCUCCCACUUCUUUGGUCAUCAGAAGUAAGACAAAGGACAAUUAAAUGAGUGGUUAGUAGUUGUUUAGAGAAAGAGAAUUUUCACUUCAUAUGCUAGUCAUUGAUAAUAUUUGCCAUUGUGGUUGCUGUUAAGUAAGUUUCUUCCUGCAGGCCUGUGAGAAGGCAUAGUACAUGAAAGUGGCAGUGCUUUCAACCUGAUUAUUAUUAUACAGUAUGGACUUUUAUUAUAUAACAAGCAAUACUUACAUUUUGUUAUUCACUUAUUUUUUACUAUACACUUAUACAUAUGCAGACACAGUAAUAAACAUCUAAGUGGUGCAAAUAGGUACAAAACCAAAAAUAAAAGUCUAUGCCUUCUAACUUC